UGGGGAAUAUUGCACAAUGGGCGCAAGCCUGAUGCAGCCAUGCCGCGUGUGUGAAGAAGGCCUUCGGGUUGUAAAGCACUUUCAGUCGUGAGGAAGGUAGUGUAGUUAAUACCUCCAUUAUUUGACGUUACCGACAGAAGAAGCACCGGCUAACUCCGUGC
rnacentral:rRNA from 1 species